rnacentral:rRNA from 1 species
GACGAACGCUGGCGGCGUGCCUAAUACAUGCAAGUAGAACGCUGAAGGAGGAGCUUGCUUCUCUGGAUGAGUUGCGAACGGGUGAGUAACGCGUAGGUAACCUGCCUGGUAGCGGGGGAUAACUAUUGGAAACGAUAGCUAAUACCGCAUAAUAGUAGAUGUUGCAUGACAUUUGCUUAAAAGGUGCAAUUGCAUCACUACCAGAUGGACCUGCGUUGUAUUAGCUAGUUGGUGGGGUAACGGCUCACCAAGGCGACGAUACAUAGCCGACCGGAGAGGGGGAUCGGCCACACUGGGACUGAGACACGGCCCAGACGCCUACGGGAGGCAGCAGUAGGGAAUCUUCGGCAAUGGACGGAAGUCUGACCGAGCAACGCCGCGUGAGUGAAGAAGGUUUUCGGAUCGUAAAGCUCGGUUGUAAGAGAAGAACGAGUGUGAGAGUGGAAAGUUCACACUGUGACGGUAUCUUACCAGAAAGGGACGGCUAACUACGUG